CAGCCGCCGCGGUAAUACAGAGGGUGCGAGCGUUAAUCGGAUUUACUGGGCGUAAAGCGUGCGUAGGCGGCUUUUUAAGUCGGAUGUGAAAUCCCUGAGCUUAACUUAGGAAUUGCAUUCGAUACUGGGAAGCUAGAGUAUGGGAGAGGAUGGUAGAAUUCCAGGUGUAGCGGUAAAAUGCGUAGAGAUCUGGAGGAAUACCGAUGGCGAAGGCAGCCAUCUGGCCUAAUACUGACGCUGAGGUACGAAAGCAUGGGGAGCAAACAGGAUUAGAUACCCCGGUAGUCCCUGUCUCUUAUAA
rnacentral:rRNA from 1 species